rnacentral:rRNA from 1 species
GAUGAACGCUGGCGGCGUGCCUAAUACAUGCAAGUCGAGCGAACAGACGAGGAGCUUGCUCCUCUGACGUUAGCGGCGGACGGGUGAGUAACACGUGGAUAACCUACCUAUAAGACUGGUAUAACUUCGGGAAACCGGAGCUAAUACCGGAUAAUAUAUUGAACCGCAUGGUUCAAUAGUGAAAGACGGUUUUGCUGUCACUUAUAGAUGGAUCCGCGCCGCAUUAGCUAGUUGGUAAGGUAACGGCUUACCAAGGCAACGAUGCGUAGCCGACCUGAGAGGGUGAUCGGCCACACUGGAACUGAGACACGGUCCAGACUCCUACGGGAGGCAGCAGUAGGGAAUCUUCCGCAAUGGGCGAAAGCUUGACGGAGCAACGCCGAGUGAGUGAUGAAGGUCUUCGGAUCGUAAAACUCUGUUAUUAGGGAAGAACAAAUGUGUAAGUAACUAUGCACGUAUUGACGGUACCUAAUCAGAAAGCCACGGCUAACUACGUG